rnacentral:rRNA from 1 species
UACGAAGGGGGCUAGCGUUGUUCGGAAUUACUGGGCGUAAAGGGCGCGUAGGCGGCCAGCGCAAGUCAGUUGUGAAAUCUCCGGGCUUAACUCGGAAAGGUCAACUGGUACUGCGCGGCUAGAGUGCAGAAAGGGCAAUCGGAAUUCUUGGUGUAGCGGUGAAAUGCGUAGAUAUCAAGAGGAACACCUGAGGCGAAGGCGGGUUGCUAGGCUGACACGUGACGCUGAGUGCGCGAAAGCCAGGGAGCAAACGGG